GGACGUAGCUUAGUCACAGAGCAUCUGUUUCUCAUGCAGAAGGUCCCAGGCUCAAUCCCUGGCAUCUCCA